CUCUGAAAAGAAUUUGAGGAACCAAGUACGUGGAAAUUGAAGCCAUGUGGGACUUAACAAGAGAUCGAAUAGUGCCUUAAACAUCCCAGGGCAACAGGCCUGUCCCCAGAGGCUGGAGCAGCCCAUGUGAAGAGUCUUCCCUGGUGCUUGGGGGCCCUCUCUUUCCAGGCUGCUGCAGACCCAGUUGGAGGGUCCCUGCCCAUGCGGAACACGCUGAUCCAGCCUAUGCCCCAGCAGCAAUCCACUGGAUCAUCCCCCCCACCCCCCACUCCUCUGGCCUCUUGGCUGUACUGACAUCUGAUUCCACACUACAAAGACACAGAGGACACUGGACCACCAGACCACUGUACUGGUUUUGAAUAAUAGACACGCCGAAUCAGCCCCCUGCAGACAGGCAGGUGUGUGCACACCCUACCAAGGUCCUGAGUCACGCGGAAGAUGCCUAAUCAGCCCGCUGCAGACAGGCAGGUCUGCCCAUGCCCUACAGAGGUCCUGAGUCACACAGAACACGCCGAAUCACCCCGCUGCAGACAGGGAGCCACCUGAUUCCACACUACAAAGACGCA
rnacentral:lncRNA from 1 species